UCUCCGUAGGUGAACCUGCGGAGGGAUCAUUACCGAGUGAGGGCUCCGGCCCGACCUCCAACCCUUCUGUGAUGAAAACCUCUUGUUGCCUCGGGGUGACCCGGCCUCCGCGUCGGGUGCCCCGGUGGCCCCCCUCAACUCUCGCGUGAACGUGUCGUCUGAGUAGAAGUAAAUCAAUCAAAACUUUCAACAACGGAUCUCUUGGUUCGGGCAUCGAUGAAGAACGCAGC
rnacentral:misc_RNA from 1 species